UACGAAGGGGGGCUAGCGUUGCUCGGAAUCACUGGGCGUAAAGGGUGCGUAGGCGGGUCUUUAAGUCAGGGGGUGAAAUCCUGGAGCUCAACUCCAGAACUGCCUUUGAUACUGAGGAUCUUGAGUUCGGGAGAGGUGAGUGGAACUGCGAGUGUAGAGGUGAAAUUCGUAGAUAUUCGCAAGAACACCAGUGGCGAAGGCGGCUCACUGGCCCGAUACUGACGCUGAGGCACGAAAGCGUGGGGGAGCAAA
rnacentral:rRNA from 1 species